UGGGAUGCUUCCUUUGAAUAGGAGAAA
rnacentral:piRNA from 1 species